rnacentral:lncRNA from 1 species
AAAUAGUGUCACAUGAAAUCAUUUUACUGUUUCUUUGUCUCCACUG